rnacentral:rRNA from 1 species
GAUGAACGCUGGCGGCGUGCCUAACACAUGCAAGUCGAGCGAUUCUCCUCGGAGAAGAGCGGCGGACGGGUGAGUAACGCGUGGGUAACCUGCCCUGUACACACGGAUAACAUACCGAAAGGUAUGCUAAUACGAGAUAAUAUGCUUUUAUCGCAUGGUAGAAGUAUCAAAGCUCCGGCGGUACAGGAUGGACCCGCGUCUGAUUAGCUAGUUGGUAAGGUAACGGCUUACCAAGGCGACGAUCAGUAGCCGACCUGAGAGGGUGAUCGGCCACAUUGGAACUGAGACACGGUCCAAACUCCUACGGGAGGCAGCAGUGGGGAAUAUUGCACAAUGGGCGAAAGCCUGAUGCAGCAACGCCGCGUGAGCGAUGAAGGCCUUCGGGUCGUAAGCUCUGUCCUCAAGGAAGAUAAUGACGGUACUUGAGGAGGAAGCCCCGGCUAACUACGUG